rnacentral:rRNA from 1 species
UGGCCAGACUCCUACGGGAGGCAGCAGUGGGGAAUAUUGGGCAAUGGAGGCAACUCUGACCCAGCAACGCCGCGUGAACGAUGAAGGUCUUCGGAUUGUAAAGUUCUUUAAGUGGGGACGAAGAAAGUGACUGUACUCACAGAAUAAGCCUCGGCUAACUACGUGCCAGCAGCCGCGGUAAUACGGAGGAUGCGAGCGUUAUCCGGAUUUAUUGGGUUUAAAGGGUGCGCAGGCGGCACGGCAAGCCGGCGGUCAAAUCGCGGGGCUCAACCCCGCCCAGCCGUCGGAACUGCCGGGCUAGAGUGGGCGAGAAGUGCGCGGAAUGCGUGGUGUAGCGGUGAAAUGCGUAGAUAUUAGGAGGAACACCAGUGGCGAAGGCGGCUUACUGGACUGUAACUGACGUUGAGGCUCGAAAGCGUGGGGAGCAAACAGGAUUAGAUACCCCAGUA